GGUCAAUUUUGAAAUUACAA
rnacentral:snRNA from 1 species